rnacentral:rRNA from 1 species
UACGUAGGGUGCAAGCGUUAAUCGGAAUUACUGGGCGUAAAGCGUGCGCAGGCGGCUGUGCAAGUCUGAUGUGAAAGCCCUAGGCUUAACCUGGGAACGGCAUUGGAGACUGCAUAGCUAGAGUGCGUCAGAGGGGGGUAGAAUUCCGCGUGUAGCAGUGAAAUGCGUAGAUAUGCGGAAGAAUACCAAUGGCGAAGGCAGCCCCCUGGGAUGACACUGACGCUCAUGUACGAAAGCGUGGGGAGCAAACAGG